GAUGAACGCUAGCGGCAGGCCUAAUACAUGCAAGUCGAACGGUGUAGCAAUACACAGUGGCGCACGGGUGCGUAACACGUAUGCAACCUACCUUACAUUGGGGGAUAGCCUUUCGAAAGGGAGAUUAAUACCGCAUAAGACAGUAACUAGGCAUCUAGUAGCUGUUAAAGAUUUAUCGAUGUAAGCUGGGCAUGCGUCCAAUUAGUUAGUUGGCGAGGUAAUGGCUCACCAAGACGAUGAUUGGAAGGGGAACUGAGAGGUCAAUCCCCCACACUGGCACUGAGAUACGGGCCAGACUCCUACGGGAGGCAGCAGUAGGGAAUAUUGGGCAAUGGGCGCAAGCCUGACCCAGCCAUGCCGCGUGCAGGAAGAAGGCGUUAUGCGUUGUAAACUGCUUUUAUACAGGAAUAAACCUAGAUACGUGUAUCUAGCUGAAGGUACUGUAUGAAUAAGCGCCGGCUAACUCCGUGCCAGCAGCCGCCGUAAGAC
rnacentral:rRNA from 1 species